rnacentral:lncRNA from 1 species
AGAUGAUGCGGCGGUUUGGAGGCCAUCAGAUGAAAUCGAGUACAUGAGAGAUGCACUUGGUUCAGCUAUUGCAUGGCCAAUGGAUAAGUUGGUUAUCUUUUGAGUUUAAGCAUAGGUAUGUAAUUAAUGUGAUGCUUGUGCUUUGGUUUUAAAUCGAGAUCCUACUGAUAUAACAAAUCUGAUAUAAGAUUGUUUGUUGCAGGGGAAUGAAGAAACUUUGGUCCAGGUUUGCUAGUUUUAAUUAAGUUUAAGACUAAGCUAAUCAUCAACUUAUGACUUGUUAUGACUU